rnacentral:rRNA from 1 species
CAAUAGCGUAUAUUAAAGUUGUUGCAGUUAAAAAGCUCGUAGUUGGAUUUCUGGUAGGAGUGACCGUUCCGAACUUGAUUGUUCGUGUAUUGUGUUUUCUCCAGCCAUCCUUGUGGAGAAUAUUUCUUGCAUUAAUUUGUAGGGAUUGGGACCCGCAUCGUUUACUGUGAAAAAAUUAGAGUGUUUAAAGCAGGCAAUCGCUUGAAUACAUUAGCAUGGAAUAAUAAGAUAGGACUUUGGUACUAUUUUGUUGGUUUGCAUACCAAAUUAAUGAUCAACAGGAACAGUUUGAGGAUAUUCGUAUGAACAUGUCAGAGGUGAAAUUCUUGGAUUUUGAUCAGACGAACUACUGCGAAAGCAUUUGCCAAGGACGUUUUCAUUAA